rnacentral:misc_RNA from 1 species
AUGGAUGGUCUAAGCUUGAGAGGUAUUGAUCUGGGAUAGGCAAUGUUUGAUCUCUUUGGAAUGGUGGCCUUCUUAUCUGGAUUCAAUAUCAGAUUUAGCUUCUUUCGGCGAUGGUGAGCAAAGAGGUGAUUAGUGGCGUUUGCAUAUUUGGUUCUUCUUUGUUUGUCCUGGGGUUCUAGGGUGGGCAAGGUUAUGGUAGUGGGUUAGUUUGAUUCGAUUAAGGAUGGGUGGGUUUGAUUUGUUUGAGUUUGGUUUGGUUUUGGAAUAUUAGGUGGGCUUGUUUUAACCAUUAGAUUUAGUCUCUUUUUCUCUUUUGUA